CAUCACCUCUAGCAUAACCAGUAUUAGAGGCACUGCCUGCCCAGUGACUAAUCAUUAAACGGCCGCGGUAUCCUGACCGUGCAAAGGUAGCAUAAUCACUUGUUCUUUAAAUAGGGACUUGUAUGAAUGGCCACACGAGGGUCCCACUGUCUCUUACUUUCAAUCAGUGAAAUUGACCUCCCCGUGAAGAGGCGGGAAUACUAUAAUAAGACGAGAAGACCCUAUGGAGCUUCAAUUAACCAACCCAUUAACUACAAAACAAACCACCAUGGGAUAACAAAACUUUACCUGGGUUGAUAAUUUUGGUUGGGGUGACCUCGGAGCACAGAAAAACCUCCGAGUGAUUAUAAGCCUAGGCCUACUAGCCAAAGCAUGACAUCACUUAUUGAUCCAAGUUUUUGAUCAACGGAACAAGUUACCCUAGGGAUAACAGCGCAAUCCUAUUCUAGAGUCCAUAUCAACAAUAGGGUUUACGACCUCGAUGUUGGAUCAGGACAUCCUAAUGGUGCAGCCGCUAUUAAGGGUUCGUUUGUUCAACGAUUAAAGUCCUACGUGAUCUGAGUU
rnacentral:rRNA from 1 species